AUACGGAGGGUGCAAGCGUUACUCGGAAUCACUGGGCGUAAAGCGCGCGCAGGCGGCUUGAUAAGUUGGAUGUGAAAGCCUACGGCUCAACCGUAGAACUGCAUCCAAAACUGUCAGGCUAGAGUGUGGGAGAGGAAGAUGGAAUUAGUUGUGUAGGGGUAAAAUCCGUAGAGAUAACUAGGAAUACCAAAAGCGAAGGCAAUCUUCUGGAACACUACUGACGCUGAGGCGCGAAGGCGUGGGGAGCAAACAGGAUUAGAAACCCUGGUAGUCC
rnacentral:rRNA from 1 species